rnacentral:tRNA from 1 species
GCAGUGGUAGUUCAAUGGUAGAAUUCUUGCCUUCUAUGCCAGAGACCCAGGUUCAAUGCCUGGCAAUGCA